GCGGAGAUGAGCCAGAUUAAUGCAGCGGUCGGGAACGAACGGGACGGUAACGGGAAAACGGAAACAACUCAGGAUUUAACGGCGACCGAAUGCUGCGACGAUGAUUUCUCCGUUGGACAGAUGGUACACGACCAGCUGCUGCCUGUGCUGUCAUGUACGGACGGGCACCAUUAUCCUGGGCAUCUGGUAUAUGCUGAUCAAUGCAGUGGUUUUAUUGAUCCUGUUGUCGGCUCUCAAUGACCCAGUCCAGUACCACUACCACCUCACCAGCUCCGAACUCGGCACGGAUCUGGAUGUCAUGGACGAUGCAAACAUGUGUAUCGCUGCUGCAAUCUCAUUGCUGAUGAUUUUGAUUUGUGGAAUGGCGACCUAUGGUGCAUAUAAGCAACAUGCUGCAUGGAUCAUUCCUUUCUUCUGCUACCAAAUCUUUGACUUUGCUCUUAACACACUGGUAGCGAUAAGUGUUGUAGUCUACCCCAACACUAUACAGGACUAUCUUCAGCAGCUGCCUGGGACCUUUCCAUACAAAGAGGACUUGAUGUCCACAAACAACAUGUGCCUAGUAUUAGCAGUGCUUCUCUUUGUUGGAUGCAUCUUAGCCUUUAAGGCAUACCUUAUUGCCUGUGUGUGGAACUGCUACAGAUACGUCAGUGGAAGAAGCACUACAGAGGUCCUGGUUUAUGUCACCACAAAUGACACUACAGUACUACUUCCACCCUACGAGGAGGCCGUCGCCAUUCCGCCGAAGGAUCCCCCUCCCCAGUACGUUUCAGCUUGAGAAUCACACCCUUCUCUAACUACGCUCCUCCCAAACCUCCUCCAAAGAAACACUCUCCGUCACAGUAGCCCAUUCUGUUGCCCCGGUCUCCUGUUUGUCGCUGUGUGACGUAAGCCUCCUCUCUGGAGGCAGCAGUAUGACUUUGAGACGCCCUUCCCUCGACGAGGAUGCCCAGCUGUCCUGGCAACCCAACGCUGUGUGUCAGCUCCAAUCCGAUUUGCACUUUCGGCGAUUAUGUGGGGCACUGGCCUUUUUAAUACUGUGAAUUUCUCAGUAGUGUUAUUGUCUACUGAUAUACCUGAGAAUUGAAUGCGGCGUAUAUGAUGAACACGGGAGUUACGCAAGAGCACUUUUUUUAAAUAAAUGGGAAUUACCUAGAAAUGUACUGAAUAUAAGAAGCCGGCAUUUUCACUUUAAUUCCGUUGUACUGUGCGAAAUAAAAAUGACACGUUUUUAUUCCGAAAAUAACUAAAUUAGUUGAAUCCAUGCGAUUAGGAAUACAGUUGCCCCAUUAAAAGAUUUAAAAACAUUAAGUUUGGCACACAAAUAUGCCACGAACAAAAGCUGCACGGUUUGAAAGUGAUUUCAGUGUUAACUGUGCUUUAUACUUCACUACACUAUUAACAAAACACAAU